ACACAGUAUUAAAGGUAACGCCUGCCCAGUGAAUAUUAAACGGCCGCGGGAUCCUCACCGUGCAAAGGUAGCAUAAUCACUUGUCCCCUAAAUAGUGACUAGUAUGAAUGGCCAAAUGAAGAUUUUACUGUCUCUUAUAGCUAAUCUAUGAAACUAAUCUACCAGUACAAAAUCUGGUAUAUUUACAUAAGACGAAAAGACCCUGUGGAACUUAUAAGCAUAAACCACCCUCCAUGGCCCACUGCUUUUAGUUGGGGCAACUUUGGAAACAAACAAAACUUCCAAUAUAAUUAAGAUAAACACAUCAAUAUGGUACAUUUUAUCAACUUUAGACCCAGUAUAUACUGAUCAAAGAACCAAGCUACCCCAGGGAUAACAGCGCCAUCCCCUCCUAGAGCCCUAAUCGACGAGAGGGGUUUACGACCUCGAUGUUGGAUCAGGGCCCCCAAACAGUGCAACAGCUGUUAACGGUUUGUUUGUUCAACAAUUAAAGCCCUACGUGAU
rnacentral:rRNA from 1 species